UGAUGGCUGUAGCUAUAAUGUUAACAAGCUAACGUCAGUCAAUUUAUUUAUUGUUGUUCAAGUUAGCAUUUAGCGACUUUUUUCAAGUGUAACGUCAACGUAAUUAAUAAAAGCCUAGUUAGCUAGCAACUACAAAACGAGAAGAUAUUCGCGGUGAAAAGGAACGUUGCCAAGUCGGCUUGGUCGUGAGGCGGAGCGUUGGGUUGUUUUUCCUCCUCCCAUCCUCCUGGAGAGAUUACCAUGAAGAAACAACUGCGUGCUAUGCAGCUCGUCAGUCUUCAUGUUAUAUGGCCCCCACGCAUGGAGAAGACAUUAAUGGUGCUUAGGAUUGCAUCAACACAUUCUUUUUUAUAACGGGUCCCUACUCUAUUCUGUCCUCUGUGAGAGCAGGAGCUGGGAAAUGCUCAUCAGUUCUGAGCACCAAAUCCCUGGAGGAUGAAGCGGCUGCCCUCCGGAGCUCAUCAAUGGAGGGCUGACUGGCCACUUUACACCUCCAUCACUGCCUGCCAGGUCACAUGUCCCCUCCACAGAGGAAUCAACCAACAACACAGACUCAUCUUCCCCAGCCUCCCAAUCUCAGGCUCCACGGCCACUUCCCUCCUGUCUCUGGCUUAAGGAUGUUACUGUACAUAGAGACUCACUGCUCUGACUGGGUCACGCCUACCCUGAUGAAUGACUUGCUAGGGGUUAAAAGGGCACACCAUGGUGGUUGGUGUUUCUUUUGUUUUGUUGCUCAACACAGGACUCAGCUGUGAAAUAGAUUUAUUUGUGUGUGGGGUUCAUCAGCUAAACCCCUGCUGCAAUGAGCAUGAAAUAAAAUAACAAUGUUUAACUAACCUAUCAUACCCACCCCCUUUGUAAUGUCUUUCAACCAGCUGUAGAUACUAAUCGGAUAAGCAAGUGUGCAGAUGUUUCUCCUGCUUGGCUGUUUGGGUGACUGGCUGGCUGGCUGGUUGGCUGGUGGCUUGUGUUCCUGUGUGCCUGUCCUGUCCAGCUGACAACCAGUAUAAUCCCACACUGAGAGUCUCUUCUGUCAUGAAACCAGAAUACAUUUCGUUUGAAAUGUUCCUGAGGGCCAGUGUAAUUAAUGUAGCUAUAGUAUAAGCCCCCAAUGCACAUGGCAGGCCUGACAUUAUCACCAUUGUAGGUUUUCAGUCAAGAGACAAUUUCAUUGCAAAUGUGUUACCCGGGAAGAUGAGAGUUAAUGUUUAAACUUGUGCUGUUUUGCCUCGUCCCCUUGCUUUCUGUAACCCAUUUGACUCUUGCACGCCCUUCAUGGCAGUGGUUGUCAGUGUGAUCUGUUUAUUUGCUUACGGGUGCACUCUGGAAAAAAGCCAACCACUGACAUGGUGGGAGAAGGUGUAUCUUGUUUGGCCAGAUAAAGAAAUAUUUUCCACAGAAUUUGUCACAGAUUAUAUCCUUGAGAUAAGAGUGACCCCUAAGGAUCAAAGUCAGAGAGGAGGAGAGUAGUUUACUAUUAGCUACUCGCUGGUGUUUUUCCUAUGUAUCCUUUAACAGCACUUGAGGCAGAGUAAGGUCUAAUGUCUAAUUAGCAUAACAACUGAGUUUGGGUGGAGUCAUCGCUUAAAGCUUUGAGAUUUUCUGCUGUUUUACUGCUCCUGUAUUUUGAGCAGAGUUUGUUGUCUGCCAUAGCUAUCGAUGUGAUGACCUCAGUCUCUCGGCUGGAAGCUUGUCUGCUUAAUAAUACAUCCGGCAGCUUUUAUGAGGUACACUGAGCAGGAUUUUGUGCUGUGGGAGGCAGGUAAAGUUUUGGUACCAGAUGCAUUUUUCAAAGCCUCCCUUUUUUAAAGAGGAGUGCUCCUCAGAGGCUCCAUCAGUCACCCAGAUUUGGGUUUGGAUCCAUUCUGCUUACGGGGACUCAGUCAGUACAGCUCUCCCUGACUGACUACCACUCCAAACACUCAGGUUCACCCAUCUGUCCCCUUCAGACAAUUUUUUAGAACUCGUUGUGGUUCACUUCCUUGUUUGAACUCCCCCCAAGUCCCCAAACAACUUAGACCCCUCAAAAAGGCCCAGAAGCAAAAUGGAAUUACAACAUAUUGAGAGGUAGGUUCAUUUUGGUGCAACAUGAACAUGAAGCUCCCAGAUGUGCCUAUCAAUAUAUCUACCAACGCCAAGCACUAGGCCCAUGGGAAACCAUUUCCCCCUUACUUCAUCGUCAUAACCGAAGAGAACUGAUGUCCAUGUUAGCGUUACACUUCAAUUGUACAAAAUCUUCUGCCAAGUAUCCUGUAACCUGUUGUUGUUACAUG